CUUGUUUUGCUCUGUGCCCAUGCUUCUUCGGGGGCGGCCAUGGAUGCGGAGAUUGGCCCUCCGUGCCUCGUGUGCGGCGGGCUUAAGAGGGGGACGUCGGCGUCGGGAUGGACACAAUGAGUGGUGGACGGAGCACCAGCAAAGAUGUCGUGGCCCCCCGUCGCCUUAAGUGGCUCAAGAGACCCGGACUAGGCGAGCCGUGCUCCGUAUAAGGAGGGCGAGCCGUCUUACAAU
rnacentral:misc_RNA from 1 species